rnacentral:rRNA from 1 species
ACUCCUACGGGAGGCAGCAGUAGGGAAUCUUCCGCAAUGGGCGAAAGCCUGACGGAGCAACGCCGCGUGAGUGAUGAAGGUCUUCGGAUCGUAAAACUCUGUUAUCAGGGAAGAACAAAUGUGUAAGUAACUGUGCACAUCUUGACGGUACCUGAUCAGAAAGCCACGGCUAACUACGUGCCAGCAGCCGCGGUAAUACGUAGGUGGCAAGCGUUAUCCGGAAUUAUUGGGCGUAAAGCGCGCGUAGGCGGUUUUUUAAGUCUGAUGUGAAAGCCCACGGCUCAACCGUGGAGGGUCAUUGGAAACUGGAAACUUGAGUGCAGAAGAGGAAAGUGGAAUUCCAUGUGUAGCGGUGAAAUGCGCAGAGAUAUGGAGGAACACCAGUGGCGAAGGCGACUUUCUGGUCUGUAACUGACGCUGAUGUGCGAAAGCGUGGGAUCAAACAGGAUUAGAUACCCUGGUAGCGACUG